rnacentral:rRNA from 1 species
UACGGAGGGUGCGAGCGUUGUCCGGAAUUAUUGGGCGUAAAGAGCUCGUAGGCGGUCUGUCGCGUCUGCUGUGAAAACUCGGGGCUUAACCCCGGGCCUGCAGUGGGUACGGGCAGACUAGAGUGUGGUAGGGGAGACUGGAAUUCCUGGUGUAGCGGUGAAAUGCGCAGAUAUCAGGAGGAACACCGAUGGCGAAGGCAGGUCUCUGGGCCACUACUGACGCUGAGAAGCGAAAGCAUGGGGAGCGAACAGG